rnacentral:misc_RNA from 1 species
AAAGUCGUAAUAAGGUCUCCGUUAGUGAACCAGCGGAGGGAUCAUUACAGAGUUGCAAAACUCCUAACCAUUGUAAACCUACCUCACCGUUGCUUCGGCGGGUAGCCCCCACCGGGGCCGCGCCGGCCCCCCCCGGCCGGCAACCCGUCAGAGGACCGAAACUCUUAGUCAUUAUUGGCCUCUCUGAGUAACUUAUACAAUAAGUCAAAACUUUCAACAACGGAUCUCUUGGUUCUG